UGGGCAAUCUGCCCUUCACUCUGGGACAAGCCCUGGAAACGGGGUCUAAUACCGGAUACGAGACGGGGAGGCAUCUCCUCGUCUGGAAAGCUCCGGCGGUGAAGGAUGAGCCCGCGGCCUAUCAGCUUGUUGGUGGGGUAAUGGCCUACCAAGGCGACGACGGGUAGCCGGCCUGAGAGGGCGACCGGCCACACUGGGACUGAGACACGGCCCAGACUCCUACGGGAGGCAGCAGUGGGGAAUAUUGCACAAUGGGCGAAAGCCUGAUGCAGCGACGCCGCGUGAGGGAUGACGGCCUUCGGGUUGUAAACCUCUUUCAGCAGGGAAGAAGCGAAAGUGACGGUACCUGCAGAAGAAGCGCCGGCUAACUACGUGCCAGCAGCCGCGGUAAUACGUAGGGCGCAAGCGUUGUCCGGAAUUAUUGGGCGUAAAGAGCUCGUAGGCGGCUUGUCACGUCGGGUGUGAAAGCCCGGGGCUUAACCCCGGGUCUGCAUCCGAUACGGGCAGGCUAGAGUGUGGUAGGGGAGAUCGGAAUUCCUGGUGUAGCGGUGAAAUGCGCAGAUAUCAGGAGGAACACCGGUGGCGAAGGCGGAUCUCUGGGCCAUUACUGACGCUGAGGAGCGAAAGCGUGGGGAGCGAACAGGAUUAGAUACCCUGGUAGUCCACGCCGUAAACGUUGGGAACUAGGUGUUGGCGACAUUCCACGUCGUCGGUGCCGCAGCUAACGCAUUAAGUUCCCCGCCUGG
rnacentral:rRNA from 1 species